rnacentral:rRNA from 1 species
UCAAAAAGAGUUUGAUCCUGGCUCAGGAUGAACGCUGGCGGCGUGCCUAACACAUGCAAGUCGAGCGAGAAGCUUUUAACGGACGCUUCGGUUGAAGUUAAGAGUGGAAAGCGGCGGACGGGUGAGUAACGCGUAGGCAACCUGCCCCUUGCAGAGGGAUAGCCUCGGGAAACCGGGAUUAAAACCACAUAAAUCCUUUUUAUCGCAUGAUAGAGAGGACAAAGAUUUAUCGGCAAGGGAUGGGCCUGCGUCUGAUUAGUUAGUUGGUGGGGUAACGGCCUACCAAGGCGACGAUCAGUAGCCGACCUGAGAGGGUGAACGGCCACAUUGGAACUGAGACACGGUCCAAACUCCUACGGGAGGCAGCAGUGGGGAAUCUUGCACAAUGGGCGAAAGCCUGAUGCAGCAACGCCGCGUGAGCGAAGAAGGCCUUUGGGUCGUAAAGCUCUGUCGGUAGGGAAGAAGGAAGUGACGGUACCUACCGAGGAAGCCCCGGCUAACUACGUGCCAGCAGCCGCGGUAAUACGUAGGGGGCGAGCGUUAUCCGGAAUUAUUGGGCGUAAAGAGUACGUAGGCGGUUUUUUAAGCGAGGGGUAUAAGGCAGCGGCUUAACUGCUGUUGGCCCCUCGAACUGGAGGACUUGAGUGUCGGAGAGGAAAGCGGAAUUCCUAGUGUAGCGGUGAAAUGCGUAGAGAUUAGGAGGAACACCAGUGGCGAAGGCGGCUUUCUGGACGACAACUGACGCUGAGGUACGAAAGCGUGGGGAGCAAACAGGAUUAGAUACCCUGGUAGUCCACGCCGUAAACGAUGAGCACUAGGUGUCGGGUUCGCAAGAAUUCGGUGCCGGAGUUAACGCAAUAAGUGCUCCGCCUGGGGAGUACGCACGCAAGUGUGAAACUCAAAGGAAUUGACGGGGACCCGCACAAGCAGCGGAGCAUGUGGUUUAAUUCGAAGCAACGCGAAGAACCUUACCAGGGCUUGACAUCCCUCUGACAGGACCUUAAUCGGUUUUUUCUACGGACAGAGGAGACAGGUGGUGCAUGGUUGUCGUCAGCUCGUGUCGUGAGAUGUUGGGUUAAGUCCCGCAACGAGCGCAACCCUUGUCAUUAGUUGCCAGCAGUAAGAUGGGGACUCUAAUGAGACUGCCGUGGAUAACACGGAGGAAGGUGGGGAUGACGUCAAAUCAUCAUGCCCCUUAUGUCCUGGGCUACACACGUGCUACAAUGGUCGGAACAGAGAGAGGCGAGACCGCGAGGUGGAGCAAAACUCAAAAACCGAUCCCAGUUCGGAUUGCAGGCUGCAACCCGCCUGCAUGAAGUCGGAGUUGCUAGUAAUCGCAGAUCAGAAUGCUGCGGUGAAUGCGUUCCCGGGUCUUGUACACACCGCCCGUCACACCAUGGAAGUUGGGGGCGCCCGAAGUUGGCCGGCAAAUAGGCUGCCUAAGGUGAAACCAAUGACUGGGGUGAAGUCGUAACAAGGUAGCCGUAGGAGAACCUGCGGCUGGAUCACCUCCUUUCUA